GACAAAUCACGUUGAAGACACCAGUUCCUAUUCGAUCACCGAGGUCAAGCAACGUUGAGCCUGGUUAGUUCUUGGAUGGUGGACCGCAUGGAA